rnacentral:rRNA from 1 species
CCCCAAACCUAAAUCCUCUCACACACUCCCUCCGCCGCCGCCCGCUAGCUAGCAGCCCACACGCCGCCGACCACCCGCCGUCUCCAGCACGCCGUCACCUUUAUACUUCAUCCUCCUGCACCCCCACUGCUUAGGCCCCGAACACUUCUAACCCUAGCUUGUGCGCUGGAGUUCGGGGAGAGGCCAAGGCGCGGUGGUGGACGCCGCCAUCCCUCUCAGAUCCGGGGCUGAGAGAGGGAGGGAAGGAGAGGUGGGUCACCUUCAAGAGAGAGCACUCGCACCCUCGCUCGUCAGUCGUCACCCAGGGGCCGCCACCAUCGCCACCACGCCAUGGGUUUCCUCCGAUUUGCGCUCGCCGAUUCGUUUGAAGAAGGAUAUGGCCGUUGACUGCUGGUGCUUCCCUUCCCCGGGCAUUCAGAUCAGCCAUGACUUGGGAUAGUACUUCUAUCCAGCAAGCAGAGUUUUGGAUGUGAGCUCCAGCUCAAGCAGAGCAUCAAAAACAGGGGCUCUAUCUGCUAAUGGGGUAGCCGGAAAUGCAGUCUAAGAGAUACAUCUCGUGUGAUUUCUGGAUAUGAGAACUUGAGAAGAACAAGCUUGAUGCUAUUAUUGGAAAAAAUAAUCUAUUCUACAGGAUUCUUCUUUGCAUCCCAUACACAUAGACGGAGUGGGAGGCUGCCGCAGCGGUGCUGGACUUGGAGCCCAAGCCAUCCGCUGCCGCCAACAGGUGCUGACAGUAUGAUGCCUUCAGAAUUGGCUCUCAGAACUUUCAACCAAGAUUAGAGCUAGCAUACAGUUUGUAGUUUAUAGUCGUACUCAUACUCAAUGAGUCCCUACCUCGGCUUCUAGGCAAGAUAUUCUUUAAUUUUAGUUGAUUAGCAACCAGUAUUGUUCAGGAAUUUUGAGUGGCACACAUCCUGGUCUGGCGAGCCGAUGACCAGACAUCAUUUGUCAAGGAAGCAAAAAGGACUACACUCACAAGGAACCAUGAAGCCAAUGAUCCACGUCAACUAGAUGUUUUAGCUUUCAUUUUGUACAACUGAUGUCUCAUACUUGCAUCUUUUGGUUGUCCUUUUGUAAACCUGAUGUAUGGUUUCUUGGUGGUUUUGUUUAGAACAGGUUGAAGUGUAUGUAUGUGCCAAUUAGUUAAUGGAAUAAAAAAUGUUUGGUGCUCCCGAUUUGAGCUUGACGUAUGGUGUUUGGG